AAAAAGUCAAAAGAUGUUUUCUUUCACCAAGAAAAUAAAUGUCCCCCUUCCCUUUCCAUCAUUUUCAAUCCUUACCUCCUUUUCCCUUCAUCUUGACUUUUCCUCCAUUUCUUUAGCCAAUUCUCAACUUUCAAACUCCUACAGCAUAUCCCACCAUUUCAGGUUAUGAAGAAUCACGUGAAGUCUACAAAUUCUGUGCAAAAUCCCCAACGUUUCUAAUUCAAACGGGUGUGUUGACCAAAAAUGCAAAUCUGAAUUUAAAAAUCCUGCUCAAGAACCCUAACUUCUAUCUAUAAAUAUCUACUUUGAAACUCAUUUUUAAAAGGGUUUUUAUCCGUACUUUUACCCCAAAAUAAAAGGGUUUUUAUCCGCACUUUUAUCCCAAAAUAAAAGGGUUUUUAUCCGCCCUUUUUACCCCAAAAACUAGAGUCAUGCCAAAGCUUUCAAUUUAUUCAUGUCGGCAUUUGACGAUCUUCAAACGGGGUUGAUCAAAAGCCGGUUAUAGUAGAUCUUCUUGACCCUGCCCUCGGUUCACUGCCCCCAAGCAGGUCUGUUAGCUUUAAAAUUUCCUUCUCCCUUUUUUUUAUUUAUAUUUUUUGAGUUCCAUAAUAAAUGUUUGCUUAAGAAUGUGACUUGCUUUCUAUGUAGAAAUCAUGCUUUAGGAAUUAUUUUAUUGAAAAACCAUGAUUUGUGGUUCAUUGUGUAUUCUGCAAUAGAAAGUUUGAAUAAGAAUGACAUGUGUUUGACUAAAUUCUUAUAUGAACUUGCGUAUGGAAUUUGCUCAUAGUACAUCCUAUUAUUAAACCUUUAGGUAAUGUGUCGUUUUCAGCUAUUUAAGAACCAUGUUUGUAGGCCAUGAAUUUUAUGGAUUAGCCACUAUUUACUUAUUUAAAUGUCAUAAGGAAGAAGUACUCUGCUAAAAUUAGGUUUAAGAAAAUGAUUCACUGUUUUAAAUAGUGUGUGAACAUGGAUCUUGUUAAGAGAACUUGUUACUUUUAAAUUAAUCAAUUAAAUAUUACUUAUGGAGUAGCAUUAGCUUGACCCAACUGAUUGGAAGCAUGUUAAAGUGACACAUAUAUUUAAAGGUAUGCCUCAUUCCUAGUUCCUUACAAGUAUAUAUACGGGGUAAAUAUUACGUUCAUAAGUUUUAUGAAAGCAUCAUUUCCUUGCAAUAUGUAUCCUAUUUGAAGUUUUUGAGAUCUGUUCCUUGUCUCUAUAAUACUUGGGACAUACACUCAAUGCAAUCUUGUCUUUGUCUAGAUUCAUUGUUUCAUUUUCUUCAUGCUUAUUGAAGAUUUAAGACCUCUGCUAAUGUUAUUUUUUUAUUUUUUUUUCUUUGCAUGUUACACACACCGGAGCCAAAGAGUCUCAAAGUUAGACUCCACGCCGCUGCCGAAGUGAACCCCCAUACCUUUACCCAUGAUGUUAUACCCCAUUUUAAUGCGGAUCAAACCAGAGUAUAAUAUAUUGGAGACUCUGUCGGGGAUUCUAAGUUCUAAACCAUAACAAACUUAGGUUAAUAAUAAAAAUUAAUUUGUGUGUUUUUAAUUGUUUAUGAUGCUUAUUUGAAUCGCCUUUGUGUGAUAAACUACUUUAUAUGAAUUGUUCAUAUAUUCCUAUUACUUUAUAUAAUUUGUUAUUCCGUUUCACUUCCUCCACUUCUGGAAAAUUCACACAAAGCACACACAUAGCGGUUACGUGGUUUGCGUCCGUGCACUUUUCAAAAAAAUACCUUUUAGGGGAAAGAUCGUGGGUAAGUCGAUCAGCGGUGCAGUCGACAGUCACGGGCUUUUCACUCUCAAGUUGUCCGCUUGGGAGAUGACCAGUCUAGCAAAACCCUUUCUUAGUCAGCCUAAGAUAGAGCCAAACUAAAACCCUUUUAAGAGCAUGCAUCAUUUUAACCUUAGGUGAUUUAAUACCCAAGGUGUAUUAAAUCUAUUAAUUAACCUUAAUCACGGGCUUUGCUUGUUUACUUGCUAUGCUACUUACUCAACUUUAUUAUUUUCACUAACAUUAUCUGUUAUUUUUCAGAAAAAGGAAGUAUUAACUAUCCAACUUGCUUAUAUCUUUAUUUAAAUAUAUACUUUUAUUUGUUCAUAUAUUUUUUUCUUUUGCUUAUUUUUAUAUCAUUUCCCUGAAUCAUUCCGCGCAUAACAACUUUAGAGGACCAUUUUUGUAUUUACUUAGGCUCAAAUUUCUUUUAGGUCUACUCCAACUCUUAGAGUCUAAUUAAGAUAUCUUUAGUCUCUCGGUAUCUUCUAUUUUUAUAAAGUACGGCGUCUUUCCCAUAAACUCUUCAAUAGGUCAGGUUCGUCAUAAAUUUCUCGAAUCUGUGCCUUAAGCUAGCAUUAAGAAUUUUUUAAACAACAAUGAGCAUCUCACUCCCUAUAGCAAGAUAUCAUUCCUACUUCUUUAAAUUUAAAAAAAAAUGUCGUAAUAUUUCAUAAUUAGAAAAUAUUUUUCCCAUCUAAUCCGUGAGUUAAUUUUAUUUGCGUUCUUUUCUUAAAAUAUAGUUACAUAUUUUUCAAAUAUUACCACUCGUGCCUCACCAAAUAUUCGUACCUUCCAUUCUUCUCGUAGCUCUAUGUUUCAUAAAAUCUAUUUACUAUUCUAACUAUUUCAACCUUCGUGCCAAUUCUCAUUUACAUAUUGGUAGAUGUCCAAACUUGCGCAAUCUACCGAACAAUAGAAGGCCACUAUUUUAAUCAAUUUGCAUUGUCAAAUUAUUCUAAAGGUUUUUACCUAUUCAAUUCAAGUUUCUGUAUCGUCUUAUUUCAGAUCGUCGAGAUUAAUCUUCAUGCACCUGUUAAUUCUAAGUUUUGGCAUGUGAGUCAAGGUACUAUCCCAUAAGUCUCAAAUUGGUUGAUACCAUAUUUUAGGCCUCGACAACUUUAUGAUUUGCCAAUGCUAAAAAUAAAUUUAGAAUCAUUUCAUGUCCAAGUCUAGAUAACAAGUUAUUCUCGUCCAUCCAUUUUGCAACAUAGGCCAUCGUUUCUAGUUUAAGGCUCAUACUUAACCAUAACAUGGAUUAAUCUAUAUAAUCAUAUAUUCUAUUAUUUUUACGCUUUUAUUUCAUUAUGAUGAAUACACUAACACUUUAUUUUUGUUUGUAAAGUUUUAUUUUUCCGUUAAAGGUUGCCUAGCAUUGAACACUGUUUUGGCUGCGAAUCUGCAUAAAGGACGAAGCUAUAAUGGCAGACAGAUUUGAAGCAUUCAGUACCGGUAUGAUAUCGUUGCAAGCAGAAGGUGAAUAUACCGAGGCAAAUAUGGUACGAAGAAACUUGUUGGUUAAUCUGGGAAGAACUUUUAACCUUCUUCCAAAUGCAACUUCUGCUUCUAGCUCAAACCGAAAUAUUUGCUUAACCAUAUCUCCUUGCCCAGAUCAUACUUAUGCAAUCUCUACACAAGUUCCAUUAACCUGCAACCCCAAUCAAGUCAUGAUAAUGCCUCUCAAAACCACAACUCCAUUUGAAGAAAGCAAGCAAACCAACUAGUAGUAUGCCCUCAUAAGAGACGUAGAAAAGAAAUCG
rnacentral:lncRNA from 1 species